AUGCACGCUGGCGGCGUGCCUAAUACAUGCCCGUCGCGCGAACAGACGAGGAGCUUGCUCCUCUGACGUUAGCGGCGGACGGGUGAGUAACACGUGGAUAACCUACCUAUAAGACUGGGAUAACUUCGGGAAACCGGAGCUAAUACCGGAUAAUAUAUUGAACCGCAUGGUUCAAUAGUGAAAGACGGUUUUGCUGUCACUUAUAGAUGGAUCCGCGCCGCAUUAGCUAGUUGGUAAGGUAACGGCUUACCAAGGCGACGAUGCGUAGCCGACCUGAGAGGGUGAUCGGCCACACUGGAACUGAGACACGGUCCAGACUCCUACGGGAGGCAGCAGUAGGGAAUCUUCCGCAAUGGGCGAAAGCCUGACGGAGCAACGCCGCGUGAGUGAUGAAGGUCUUCGGAUCGUAAAACUCUGUUAUUAGGGAAGAACAAAUGUGUAAGUAACUAUGCACGUCUUGACGGUACCUAAUCAGAAAGCCACGGCUAACUACGUG
rnacentral:rRNA from 1 species